GGUAGUAGCAAAUGUUUAAGUUCGAUCCUUGAACAAUGAAUUGGAGAAGGGUUGCCGUGAACAGUAGUUCAAUGUCGGUCAGUCGAUCCUAAGAUACUGGCUUACGCCUUGUAUAAUCGGGAGGGAAAAGUCUCUUUUGUCUUGGAUAUCAAAAGGGAAUAGGGUCAACAUUGACAGAGAUUUUGGAAGAUACAGAGAUUGUGGCUCCUUGAGUUACUUGCGCGGUAAUGCAUUCGAACUUGGUUAUGUCGCUCAGAGACCGAGCUAGAUUUCUCUUCUCUGGAGAAGUGGAAUUCGUGGAAUCGGUUCAGCCGUAUAUAGGGACUUUCCCGUAAAGCGUCGCGAUUUUUGUGAUGUUCGUGCUCUCUGGAUGGCCCUUGAAAAACCACGGAAGGCCAUUGAUCUGGACCGAUAUCCGUCGUACCGAUAUCCGAAUCGGGUCUCCAAGAUGAACAGCUUCUAGUC
rnacentral:ncRNA from 1 species